UAAAAUGGGAGGUAAAUUUCUCCUAAGGCUAAAUAACGGCGAGAGACCGAUAGCGAACAAGUACCGUGAGGGAAAGAUGAAAAGAACUUUGAAAAGAGAGUUAAACAGUACGUGAAAUUGUUGAAAGGGGAACGAUUGAAGCCAGUCGUACCUUCGGGUAAUCAGCCUUUCGGGUGCGAUUCUGUGGGGUGUGAAGAGUUAAACGCCUUCACGUUUUGCAUAUUCGUGCUCUUGGGUGUACUUGCCCGUGUGGUUGGUUAACAUCAAUUUUGGACGCCAUAAAAUGACUGGAGGAAUGUAGCUUCGAUCUUGUAUUGAAGUGUUAUAGCCUUCGGUAGAUGUGGUUUUCGAGAUUGAGGAUUGCAACGGAUACCCUUCGGGGCUACCUAUCUGAUCUCUGAUCGUUGCUCUGGUGCCGAAAGCUUGCUUACGGUUAUCAAAGUCGAUGGUCAAUAUGUUAGAAUGGGUUAAAUUCGUUAAGGAUGUUGACGUAAUGGCUUUAAACGACCCGUCUUGAGACACGGACCAAGGAG
rnacentral:rRNA from 1 species